UGGGAAUGCUAGCUCAAUGUAGAGCGCUCGCUUAGCAUGCGAGAGGUACAGGAUCGAUACCUGCUUCUCAU
rnacentral:tRNA from 1 species